rnacentral:rRNA from 1 species
GACGUAGGGCGCGAGCGUUGUCCGGAUUUAUUGGGCGUAAAGAGCUCGUAGGCGGCUCGUUGCGUCAACCGUGAAAUCUCCGGGCUUAACUCGGAAAGGUCAACUGAUACUGUGCGACUAGAGUGCAGAAGGGGCAACUGGAAUUCUCGGUGUAGCGGUGAAAUGCGUAGAUAUCGAGAGGAACACCUGCGGCGAAGGCGGGUUGCUGGGCUGACACUGACGCUGAUGCGCGAAAGCGUGGGGAGCAAACAGG